AUUCCAGCUCCAGUAGCGUAUAUUAAAGUUGUUGCAGUUAAAAAGCUCGUAGUUGGAUUUCUGACUUCAGAUACCUGACCCUCCCUCGCUAGAGGUGUGUGUGCCGGAGUAUUUGUAUCAUCCUUUCAGAGAUCGUUUCUGUCCUUAACCGGAUCGGAGAUGUUAUCUGGAUCUUUUACUUUGAAGAAAUUGGAGUGUUUAAAGCAGGCUUACGCCAGAACAUAUUAGCAUGGAAUAAUAAUUUAGGACUUUUGUUCUAUUUUGUUGGUUUCUAGGACGAAAGUAAUGAUUGAUAGGGAUAGUUGGGGGUGCUAGUAUUCGGCGGCCAGAGGUGAAAUUCUUUGAUCCGCUGAAGACUAACUUAUGCGAAAGCAUUCACCAAGGAUGUCUUCAUCG
rnacentral:rRNA from 1 species